AGGGUGAGGAAAAUUGUUAAAAUGUGAUUAGUAGGUCGAUCUUUCUUGUCCGGCACACCUUUAUGUUUUUCUACAAUCAAAUUCCUAUUUCUUAGCUUAGGCUUUCAUUCAGAGUUCCUCGAAAUCUUAUUUGGGUUUCUCAUGUUGUAAUCCUUAUUUUUCUACCUCUCCUUGAGUUUGCAAAGGAAUCGGAGUUACUCCAAUAAUCAGAGAUCACCUGCCGCAAUCUCUGACCUGAUGUCCCCCAUAUUUUUUUUUGAGGCCUUACCAAACCCCUGUGACAUAUUUACUCUCGGUCCAAUCUAGCUGCUGGCGAGAAUUCAAUACGUGUAACAAGCUCAAACCCACUGGCCACGACCGUAGUCAGCCGGAGAAUGUCCUUAUCACGUGUAUAUCAGCUGUUCAACAUCUCAUCCCAAUUCGACUCUAUAGUAGCAUAACAGAUCAGGGAGCCAAGCUGAACUCGAUUUUGAUCCUCACCCAGACUCUGAUUAAAGAACAUCCGGAACAAGGGUCAGCUUGCAUAUAUAAGGAAUAUGCCAAAGGUCGUUGUCAUCUUCCCUGUUUUCUUUGCUUCAUUUGUGCAGCAGAACGAAGUGCUGCUCUGCCCUAUCAUAGUUUUUGUUGCGGCCCACUAGU
rnacentral:lncRNA from 1 species